UGGGGAAUAUUGGACAAUGGGCGCAAGCCUGAUCCAGCAAUGCCGCGUGUGUGAAGAAGGCCUUCGGGUUGUAAAGCACUUUUAUCAGGAGCGAAACGCUGUCGGCUAAUACCCGGCGGAACUGACGGUACCUGAGGAAUAAGCACCGGCUAACUUCGUGCCAGCAGCCGCGGUAAUACGAAGGGUGCAAGCGUUAAUCGGAAUUACUGGGCGUAAAGCGUGCGUAGGCGGUUUCUUAAGUCUGCUGUGAAAUCCCCGGGCUCAACCUGGGAAUGGCAGUGGAUACUGGGAGGCUAGAGUGUGUCAGAGGGUGGUGGAAUUCCCGGUGUAGCGGUGAAAUGCGUAGAGAUCGGGAGGAACAUCAGUGGCGAAGGCGGCCACCUGGGACAACACUGACGCUGAGGCACGAAAGCGUGGGGAGCAAACAGGAUUAGAUACCCUGGUAGUCCACGCCCUAAAGCGAUGCGAACUGGAUGUUGGUCUCAACUCGGAGAUCAGUGUCGAAGCUAACGCGUUAAGUUCGCCGCCUGGGGAGUACGGUCGCAAGACUGAAACUCAAAUGAAUUGACGGGGUC
rnacentral:rRNA from 1 species